AACAACUUCUGCCUCGUACCUUGUUUUCAGUGGCAUGCUUUUCCUUCUCAACCUUGGCCAACGUUAACUCCAGGUCAUCUAUAUCUUUCUUCAGCUCUGAGCAUUCAUCCUCCAGUUUCCUCUUCUUGGCUGUCAGCUCAGCAUUAAUUUCCUCCUCAUCCUCAGCCCGUUCUGUCACCUCCUUAAUUUUGGCUUCCAGCUGGAUUUUGGUUUUGAUGAGCUG